UGUUGGACUACAUCUCAGUUGGUUAGAGCAUGGUGCUGAUAACGCCAAGGUUGCAGGUUCGAUCCCAGUUUGGGACAG